GGCUGGUUAGUUUGCAGGAAGGAUGUUGCGCCGCAGGAGCAUCAGGACCGCCUGGGACUGGGAUGCAAUGGGCUUGAUCCCGAGCGGUUUCCCCCUUCCCCGCCGGAGGGCGCUGCCGCCUCCCCGGGUCUCCGUACCGGCUGCGGGGCGGGGAGUGUCUGCCCGGGACCUGCGAGGGCAAGCCCAGCUUUAGCUCGAGGCAGAUCGGGCUGGCCACCGGUGUGCUGGUCCCUGGUGCUGCAAGCACAGCAGCUCCCUAUGUCCUCUGUCGGAUGGGGGAUCGCUGAGGCUGUAAGGCCUCCAUCUGUAGAAUGGCUGCUGCUUCUUUCCGCUAUGGAGUGACCAUCCUUGGGGCUGUCCUGCUGGUGACAGGAACACUUUGUUUUGCCUGGUGGAGCGAUGGAGAGGUGGAGCCCACAUCUAGUAAUGACCCUCAGGUUGUGCCUCACGGAGAAGCCGAAGUGGUCCCCAGCUCCAGCUCCUCUAAUGCGUUGCUCAGGUCCGUCAGCUUCUUCUGCUGUGGCAUCGGCGGGAUCCUCCUCCUCUUUGGGCUCCUGUGGUCUGUGAAAGCAAAUGCUAGGGUGGUGUCUCAGCGCUAUCAAUACCACUUUCCUAGAGACCUUCACUACUUCACGGUGGAGCCUCUUGAAAAAUGGACGUGCAGCACCUGGGACGCCAACGCUAUCCCCACCUAUGAAGAAGCCCUGAACUGCCGGCCGGCUGCGUGCACCCUUGGUUACAUACAGCCUCCUGGCAGGAAGGAGGAGGAUACGCCGCCAAUUCACCAAGACGUUGAUGAGGAUGAGAUGUGGCAAGGGAGCUGGAGACGCAGCUCCUCAGACAGCGAGCUGCUCAGGAGCUUACCUGUGCGGCUGGAGAUGGAGUUGCAGGAUGACCCAAGGGCUACCCCACCGCCCAGCUAUGAGAACAUCAGCAUACGUGGUGUAUGAUCUGCAGAGCGUGCCAGGUGCUUAGGACUGUAGAUUUCUACCUAGUCUGUUCGCUCUAGAGCCUGCCCUUCCCAUCUGUAAUAUAUUGAUGAUGAACUGAACAGGGAGAGGCAGUAGGACAGAGAACAGUUAUUUAUUUGGACUGCAAAGGAUGACCAUUGAAAUACAUGGGGAACCAGAGAGGUACAGCUAAGGUUUGCAUUUCUGUACAUAUAUAAGUGAUUUAGGUUUUAAAACCUGUUUUCAGAAGUGAUAUAGGCACUGAGGAGGUAUGUCCUGUUGCCUUUCAGUGACACAGCUAUUAUUUUCAAAAGUGAUUUUAAGAGCCCUUAGGGACUUGAUUUUCAAAAAGGAUAUCCCAAAAUUGACACCUGCUGAUUUUUAAAAUCUUGGCCUUAGCUCCUAGGUACCUGAGAAUAUGUCUACAAUGUAGUUGUAGCAGCGAUUGCACAAUUGCAAUGUUAUAUAGACAUAUGCAACCUGUCUUUAAACUGGCUAGUUUGGGUACCAGUAGCAGGCAUCCUGGAUCUCCAUAUAGACUAAUUUACCCUGGUUCAUAGGCUGGUUUAGCAGCCCAGCCUGACCUCUAUGCUAAACUGCCACUGGCAUUUGUGUCAGUUAGUCUAAAGCUGCCUUGGAUAUGCCUAAACCACACCAGACUCACUGCAGUGACAGACCCUGCAUUACUCAUGACAAUGAGCCUUUCACUUUUCACCCCUCGAGGUACUUCUGGAAAGUUUUUAUCCUAAGUCCAUAGGUAUUAACAUAAAAACAGAGGCUCUCAAGCUAGAGUCACCUACUGGCAUCUUGCCAUGAGCUGGAGAGCUCAGCGAAGCCAGACUUUAUGAGCUGUAUUGAAAGCAAAAACACACUGACUUCUGCUGAUUGUUUCCCUGCACGGAAAAUCAGACUUUGUAAAGGUAUCCCAAGCAACACAAAGCACAUGGCAAAGGGGUAUCGGGGAAUCCUGGAUACUAAUCAGCUGAUGAGCUGAUAGCAGUGCUCCACAAUUGGAGUAGUUUGUAUUCAGCUUGUUUUUCCAUUAAAUCUGUUGCUUUGCUGCUGUCUCUUGGGAAGCCUGCAUGCUGUAGCCCUUCAGUCUUGCCAUAAAGGGUUGGAUGUUGCAUGCUUGCUGGCUGCGGGAGCCCGGGGGACAGAUAGCACUCAGUGUACUUGUUAUGGAUGGCAGUGCCAAGGAGCCAUUGGACUGUGCAACUGGCAGCCUGCACAAUAAUGUGGAUAUAGGAAGUGCUGUGUUCUCCCUGUCAUGGGAAAUCAUAUCUUGGGACAGCGGGAGAUAGAUAUUCUGUAAAACGGCUGAUACAAAUCAAAACACUGUCAGGAGAGGAGCAAUCUGCAGGUUCAGGAUUUAUGAUGGAGAAGUGAACUGCGGCCAGUGUAGGGAGGGGGCAAAGUCCCCGGCUGUGAGAAAUGGGCAACGGGCCAUGGCUGCAAUGGAACAACCCACUGAGAACCUGCUCUAGAGUUGGUGGGGCAGGCAAAAGGACCAAGCUUAAGCCUUUGCAGUCCACUGUAACUGGGUAAAAGGCUCUACAGGUGCCCAGUAACAAUCCAACAGUGGUCCAAGCUACUCUGAUUAUGAAGCAUGGGCUAAAUGUGAUGGUGAAGAGUCAGGGAUUCCCCUUUGGUAGGAGACAGGAGCUACAGAAUCUCGCUUUGGACCAACACAGCCUCAGGGGAAGCACUGAGCGUGCGUGCAUAUGUAACUCUAAGGACAUGGGGACAUGAAGAAGGUAGCCUGUCACCUUCAGUACUGUGUGUGGUGAGGAUAUCACAUAGUUCCUUAUCUCUUCCUUCUUUAUGGGAGUGGAGGGUGGCCUUUUUUUAAAAGGAUCUCUGUCUGUUUCCUUUUUGCUUUGCAUUUGCAAGCAAACAUCCUUGUACGGUCAUCCAGCUACAAACAGGUUCAAGCCAAACAAAAGCAGCGUUUCUACGCACGUUUUACCCAACUUCCAAAAAUGUCACUAACUACAUUGCACUUCCAAUGGACCAGUCAUUGAUAGCUCAGCUGCUUCCUAUUUGUUCGCCCUGCAAGUAUAUAUAAAUAUUAAUUCCACAGCCCUGGCUGCCUUUUGUUUUAAAGUGUGUAGUGGGGAUAUUUUUUUGGUUUAGAUUUCAUUUUUGAGCUAGUGCUCUGCAAAAAUACACCCUCAGCUACUCAAGUACUGUAUACGGAUGCUUGAUACAGGGCUGGUUUGGUCAGGGGUCAGACUGCCUUGCGCAGGGGGUUGGAGUGAAUGGGACUUCCUGAGGUCGCUGUCUGUCCUGCUAGUCUAUGAUUCAGUGCUACAGUUUUGGUAAAAAAAACAUGUAUCUCAGACAGUGGUAUAGGUGACUGCUGCUAGGUUUGAGGAUUAUGGGGGUGCAGACACAUGAUGUAAUUACUAGGGAAUAACUUCUGUGGGAGCUUACACACGACCAGUUGUCCUACGCUAGCUGCCUGCAGGAGGUGGCAGUGCAGAGUCUGGUCAGUAGAUGAUGGGGUUCAUGUUGAGCCAGCUGCUACCUCAGAUGAAGCUGACCUGGAGAACAGACAUUCCCUGUGAUACUUUUCCGAUGUAAUAAAGUUACUACGUGUUUUUCAGGGGACAAGCGCAUCUUGUAUGGACUCCACAUUUCCUAGAUAGGCAGUGUGUUGUGUGUCCGAACCCAUGUAACAGAGUCUGCAAAAUGGGGUUUGGAGUAGGACUUCUGCAGGGUGAAAGCCCGUGAUCUGUUGAUGUCUAUGGCCUGGAGAGCUCUGCACACCCUCUAGUAGUGGACUUAGAAGGACAAUUUAUGGUUCUGCUCUACAUUUAGGGACCAAGAAUGGUAAUAUUUUCCUAUCUGAGCUAGUGAACAACUUUUAAG